UUUUUUUUGGAACUGGGGGUCGAACCCAGGGCUUUGCUAAUGCUAAGAUUUUAUUCUUGAAGCGUUCAAUGUGAAUAACAUUCCCGGGAUUUCCAGUUUUCCCAUUGACUUUAACCUUCUCCCUCAGAAACUGUUAAAAAUAUCCAGAAUCAAAAAUCCCAUCUUUUACAGGAUGAGUAAGGUCCAUAUUAAACUUCCAAGUAGUCCUCUUAGGCUUCUUGUCUUCCUGCAGCACCAUCUUGACAGCUGGCCGCAUGAUCAGAGAGCGUUAGCGAUUAGAAAUUCCUCACUUAGAUAGGCAUGGCAAUGUAUACCUAUAACCCCAGCUGCUUAGAACACUGAGGCAGGAGGAUUCUGAGUCCAAGGCCAGUCUGGACAAUGUGACAAGUCCCUGUCUCAAAAAAAAAAAAAGGGGGGGGCUGGAGCUCAGUGGCAGAGCACUUGCUUACCAUAUGUGAGGCACUGGGUUUGAUCCUUAGCACCACAUACAAAAAUAAGCAAAUAAAAUAAAGUCAUGCUGUCCAUCUACAACUACAAAAAAAAAGAAGAAGAAAAAAGUUCCCAGUUUAGAUGACUCUUCCAACAGGGAUAGAUUGAACAGAGUUUACAAGGGCAUCUAAGUAGUAUAUUAGUUAUCCAUUGCUGUGCAACAAAUGACAGUAAAAUUAAAUGGCUUAAAACAUCUCAGCCAGAUGUGGUGGCACACACCUAUAAUCCCAGUGGCUGGGGAGGCUGAGGCUAAAGGAUUGCAUGUUCAAAGCCAGACUCAGCAAUUAAGCAAGGCCCUAAGCAACUUGUCUCAAAAAAUAAAAAUGGCUGGGGAUAUGGCGUAGUGUUCAAGUAUUCCUGAGUUUAGUCCCUGGUACCAAUAACAACAACAACAAAACCCCCAAAUUAUCUCAGUUUUUAUGGGGAGAGAAUCUGAGUUGCACUAUUUUCUGCCUCAGUGUGUCUCCCAAGGCUAUAUUCAAGGUGUUAGCUAAGGCCAUAAUCUUCUCUAGGUUCAGUGGUCAUCAGUAAAAAUCACUUCUUCGUGGGUGAUUGGACUGAAGACCUUAUUAGAAGACUAAGGAUUGGCCAGAAGUUGCCCAGAAGACAACACUAGCAAGCUGAAGUCAUAGUCUUUUGUGACAAUCACAGAAGUGACAUCCAGUCGCUUUUUACUCAGUAGGCCAGCCUGUACUCAAGGAACAUAGAUUAGACAGGGUAUGACUGUCAGAAGGCAGAAAUCAUUGAGAGCCAUGUUAGAAGUUGUCUGCCACAGGCAGUGUUUCUGUGGACCACCAGCAUCAAAAUCAUUAUGGGAGCUUUUGAAAGUAAGCCUUGCAGCCAGUCCUACCCUAGUUCCUAUCAAAUUAGAAUCUCUAGGAUGUGAAAGGGAAAUGUGCCUUUAUACCCUCAUUGACUCUGUCAGGUAGUGUCAACAUGGAUCAAAUGAACGGUUUCUACUGCAGGUCCUGGAUGAACAGGUAAGAGCCUAGGUCACCAUCUGGGAAGAAAGAAUGAGCAAAGAUAAAAUUUUGAGUACAGGGUGUAAGACACCACACUGCACUAUGAAUGGAAGACACCACACGACACAAAUCACCGGAGAGAUUCCGCUUUAUUACAAAAGGCUGUGGGCUUAUAUAGAUCUAAGGGGAGGUGGCAGGGCUUAGGUAAGUGAUGGGUCACCCGUUUAUUGGCAAGUUCUUCCAGAUGUCAGUUCUGGAGCCCAAGAAGUUAAUUCUUAUUGGGGCUAAUGUUUCCCACCCGCUGGAUUUGAAUAAUGGCGCCGGCGGGAAAUUUUCACGCCAGUGAAAAGAAGGGAAAGUAGGCGCCAUGUUGAGGUUUUUCUUUGGGGUGUGGCUGCCGUUUAUACUGUUCCUAACACAGGGUAAGAAAGCAUGACUUAUUCUGCCCUUUAAGGUUUUUAAGUGCAUGGUUACAAAUUAUCUGUUUAGUAGGUGUUAAAAAGUAUUGAGUAAGUUGAAAGUGGUUAACAGGGACCUAUAUCUUGCCUGGGGUCAGAAAAAGACAUGACCUUUAAACUGAAAUUAGAAGCCAAGUAGUAGUUAGCCUGAUGAAGAGAAGGGAGGAUGCAUCUUAAUUGGGAAGAAUGUCAGACUUUAACCUGUAUCCCUCAUAGGAAAUGCAUAACUUUUGUGAUGCAUCGGCAUAUAUGGUCCUAUACUUACUAUUUAUUUUCAUUGAAUUGGUAAAUAUAUGUUGGCUGAAAAAUCUGAAAUAUAUCAGCCAUGAAGUUUUUGUUAUAUACUUUUUUGGGCUUUGGGAUUUUGGGUGAUUUUUGUCUUUUUGCUUAUCUAUUUUUCUAUGAUAAUUGUUAGUAAAAGCUAAUAUUUAC
rnacentral:lncRNA from 1 species